rnacentral:piRNA from 1 species
AAUAACUAGCAGGUGAUGA